rnacentral:misc_RNA from 1 species
AAGUCGUAACAAGGUAUCCGUAGGUGAACCUGCGGAUGGAUCAUUACCAAUUUAUAUGUUAGUUUGCCUGUGGCUUCGGUCACUGGUAUUAACUACUAUGUAAACGUUGAACUAGAUCAAUUGGUGUGGAUUGCUUGGGAAUGGACGAAGCGAUGAGCCUCUUCCGGACAGGCAAGCCCCACACUGAUAACCUUUUUCAUAUCAUUUACUCGUAUAUACUACCACAACAACAAAAAACAAAAGCUAUAAUAGGACUUAUUAACGGCUGAGUGGGUAACAUCCUCGGCUUAAACAUAUAACUAUUACAACUUUCAGCAAUGGAUCUCUAGGCUCUC